AAUUAAACGCAACUAAAAAGUACAUGUAUCUUGAUGGUAUUAACUAAAUAUGUUGACUAAAGACCCAUUCUACAAGCAUUCAACAUGCACAGCUUCAUAAGAUCAGGGAUAUUAUAGUCAAGCAGGCGACCAAGCACAAACCCUUUAAACGACCAAGGCGACGCCAUACAAAGCUAAAACAAACAUCACUAGUCAACCUGAAGAAUUGAAGGGUGCAUUCAUGAAAUGUAUAAAACUCCUCUUGUCCAAAACUAUCAUGAAGGGAUUGCCCGGAUGUUGGUUUCAAGGGGAGCAGACCUCACAUGCUCUCUCACUAACUCCUAUUGAUAUUCAUCUGGGCCAUUGUAAAGAAAUGGCAAAAACGCUUUGUACAGUAGCAUGCUGGGUGUCAACAAAGCCAUCUGCAGCUGCUUUCAAUUAACUGUAAGUCUGGAUUUGUAUUGUCUCAAAAGCAGUAAAUUCAAACUUUCAAAUAUAUACAGUACAUUUUUUACACAGCAGGCUCACACAUUGAACAAAACACAGUCUUUAAGCUAUCAUUAGCCAAAUGCAACAUAAAAGCUGAAUUUGACUAAAUAUGUUUUUUUCAAAAUUAGCUAUUUAUUUUCAUACUGAAUUAGCCCUAAUUGCUAAAUUGUGUUUUUGGCUAGCUUAAACUCUGAAUACACUUUAAUUGAAAUACUUUACUUCAAUGAUUAAGCCAGUGAA
rnacentral:lncRNA from 1 species